ensembl:lncRNA
GGUCCAGGCUCUAACAGUGGUUUUCCAGCACUGGUUCCACUUGGCUGCUGAGGAAGACUCAAGCGCCCAGUGUGUGGAGUUGUACCUGAAGCAGGUGAAGGCCACCACACCCACCCUGCUCUACUUCCUGGUGAACAUGGUGGAUGACGAAGGCAACACGGCUCUCCACUACAGCAUGUCUCAUGGCAACUUCAGCGUCAGCCAGGUCCUCCUGGACUCAGGUCAGACUGGCAGAAACAGGCAACUGUCUAUUGUUUUAAAUAACUUGCGUUAAUGCAUGAUACGUGGUUCUUCAGGUGUGUGUGAUGUAGAUCUCCGGAGCAAGGAUGGAUACUCUCCCCUCCUCUGGCUGCUGUCACAGGGCCAGAGUCUCCUGAGAAGCAGGGGGUGGUCCUGCAGCUGCUGAGUCUUGGAGAUGUUAACGCUCGCCUAGCCCCGGCGGGACAGACGGCUCUUCACCUGGCUGUGAGGCGCGGCCGAGAGGACAUGGUGCGCCUCCUGCUGUCUGCGGGCGCAGACUGCAACGCCCAGGACCAAUCAGAAUCCACCGCGCUCAUGAACGCCUGUGAGCUCGGCUGCUGUGACAUCAUCACCGCCCUGCUGGAGCGCCCUGACUGCGACGUCACCCUCACUGAUCGGGACGGACGCAGCGCCCUGUCCAUCGCCCUCCAGGCUCCACACCCUGAUGCGGCCUCACUGCUCAGAACCCACAUGACCUCCAGGGACCUGGCUUCUUUCUCUCAUCACAAAUGACAUCACUUCCUGUCCUCAUUCAUUCGAUUCGACUUCCAGUCCUGCUCUUCAUUACCACCCUAUGGUCCUGUUUCCACCUUAAUAAUAAGUUAACAUUAAUAUUACGUAUCGGUCUUCAAACAGCACUUAACUGCACAUCUCACCAGGCCGGCGAGAAAUAAAGCUGCUCC